GCCCCGCUUCCCUCUUUGGUCCCGUCCUUCAGUGUGGUGGGAACGGCCACUUGUCUUCAAGGUCGUGGUAAGGAUCUGAAUCAGUCGGAAGAGGUCAACCACUGCUGCUGGGGGCUGGAGACUCCUGGGAGAAAGGCAGGACACCAACAUGGACUUGACAAUGGAAGGUUCAUGUUCCAGAGCUCUCAUUCGGGUACCUGAGGAUCCUCCAUGAAGACCAAAGAUGAGUGGACUGGAAGGGACUAACCUUACCUGGCUGGAAAAUUGGGCAAAGGGAAGUAACUGGAUGGAGAGGAACCACGAAGAGUCAGUAUCAUUGGACCACCCAGGCUGUGACAGAAUGAGAACUAUCUGGAUCCAGCAGGCCCACAAGAGUUUCACCAACACUUGUGGACCACUUGCUGACAUCUGACUGACCUCCACAGGACACUUGCACAAAGAACCUGUCCUCUUUGUUGGCAGACAAAGGCAGUAGUUAUUUGCUUUUCUCUAGAAAACCAUCCAGCAGAUAUGGUGGCUGUUGGUACCUUUGCUUAAUGCAUUCAAACUAUAUUGGGUGGACAGCAUCAUUUUAAAGAAUUCAAGACACUAAUAAACCCUUGAAACUGA